rnacentral:rRNA from 1 species
CACGUAAGUGGCAAGCGUUGUCCGGAUUUACUGGGCGUAAAGAGCACGUAGGCGGUCAAGUAAGCGGCGGGUGAAAUCCCGGGGCUCAACCCCGGAACUGCUCGCCGUACUGCUCGACUAGAGUUCGGGAGAGGGCAGUGGAAUUCCUGGUGUAGCGGUGGAAUGCGUACAUAUCAGGAGGAACACCGGUGGCGAAGGCUGCUGCCUGGAACGAUACUGACGCUGAGGUGCGAAAGCUAGGGGAGCAAACGGG